CCAGGCUUGACAUCCAGGGAGCCUGACAGAGAUGUUGGGGUGCUCUUCGGAGAACCCUGAGACAGGUGCUGCAUGGCUGUGGUCAGCUCGGGCCGUGAGGUGUUGGGUUAAGUCCCGCAACGAGCGCAACCCCUGUCCUUAGUGGCCAGCAGGUGAAGCUGGGCACUCUAGGGAGACCGCUUCGGUUAACGGAGAGGAAGGUGGGGAGGACGUCAGGUCAUCAUGGCCCUUACGCCUGGGGCUACACACGUACUACAAUGGGGCAUACAAAGGGCAGGGGAAACCGGGAGGUCAAGCUAAUCCCAACAAAUGCAUCUCAGUUCGGAUGGGAGGUCGGCAACUGGACUCCAGGAAGUGGGAAUCGCUAGUAAUUCGGGAUCAGCAUGCCAGGGUGAAUGCGUUGCCG
rnacentral:rRNA from 1 species